UGUGGUGGAAUUUCCUCUCACAGGGGCACAGGGAUAUUGCUCAGGGUAUCAGUCAUACACCGCAUAAAAUAACUUUAGGUAAAUUUAAUAGCUUUAAAGAGCAUCUGUAUAUUCUUUAUUAUUGCUUUUUAAUCCAGGAAACUAUCAACAAUGAAGCUGUGGGAGAUAAGAAAGGAAAUGCUGUUAAAAACAGCUUUAACCGUGUUUGUCCUCUCAUGUUUCCUGGGACGUCUGGACUGUGAAGAGCUAACAGUCAAACAAGCAAAGGAUGUAACUCUGGAGUGCUAUGGCCCCAGUGAUGCUAACAUAAUGAUAAGCUGGCAAAAGCCUGACCUGCAGUCAGAGUAUUAUGUGUUCUACUUCAGCGAUGAACACAUUCACAAAGACAAACAGCAUGAAUCAUUUAAAGGUCGAGUGGAGCUGAAAGAUCCAGAGAUAAAGAAUGGAAACUUUUCUAUGAUUCUCAAAAAUGUCACCAUGAACGACGCUGGAAUAUAUGAAUGUUAUGCUGGAUACAACAGACAGAGACCUCAGCUUUUGAAGAGCAUCAACCUGAAGGUAAAAGAAGAAGGUCAGACAGUACUCGAUAAGGACAAAGACCAGAGGAGUGGAGCUGAUGGCGUAGAAGUUGACAUGUCGAUUUCCGUUGUGCUUGCUGCUGCUGUUUUGUUGUUUUAGCCGUCUGUUGAACUGCAGCCAGUUUGAAAGGCCACAGAUGGAAAUAUCACAGUGUAUAUUCACUCCACCCACCCACUCAGCAUUCACAGUGACAGAUGUGCUGAGGACAGACAGAAGUUAACGAUGCACAAUUAAACUGGAAUUUAGCACCUGGAGGAAACAUUAAGUUAUGUUCGUGUUUGUGAUUAUCUGAAGUUUCCUGCUCAACAUACAUGUUUGUUUACAUUGUUAUCUGCUGCCUUUUUUAGUCACCAUCAAAUAUCACUGAGCUAUUAUGAAUUCUGAAUUUUACAUUUUGAUAUUUUUGUCCUACAUAUUUUUCAUUUUACAUUUUAUUUUGAUAUUUUACAUGUUUUUUGCAUUUUUAAAGGCUUAAAAUACUGUUGAGAAGGAAGGUUACAUUAUAUGUAAAGAGGGCCAAAUAUAAGCCCUGACGGCCAUCACUAGUCCACUGGAUGACUUUGAAAAAUAUAAAAUGUGAAUUAAAAAAGAAAAAGUAAGAUGUUGGACUAUUUACUGUAUUUUGUCAUUAACAGUGGAUAACAUCAUGAGAAUCGAUCAUAGAUUAUUUUUUUUUAAACUAUUAGUAUAAAGAACAAAGUUUUUAUAACAAAUUCUCAGGAUUGAUGAAUCUGUAACAUCAGCAAAAUGUUUUACACUUGGUCAUGUGCAAUAAAGGACAUGUGAAUGAAUCCAGUGCAUGUACGAGCAGAUUAACACCAGCCUGGCUUGCAACAAACACUCUGAGAGAUAUCGUUGUAUUAUUGUUAGAUAUGCUGUUUCUACUACUUUACUUUCAAACCAUCUGUCCUCUCUGUCCAAAACGUGAACAUCGGCAUCCUUGAAAGUGUGACCUUUGACCUUUAGGUGCAGAUGUAGAGCUGAGUCUUGCCCUGUCGAGGUGGCGCGUCUAUGUUUUGUGGCUGUUUGGUCUCACCAGUGUAGAGGUCUGAGCACUCCUCGCUGUACUGCACAGCACACACUAUGUUGACUGGCUUGUGUUUGGGAGUUUUGUCCUUGGGAUGAAACAUCUGUGAACGACCAUCUCUGAACAGAGGAGGUGGCUCACAACACCGACUGUCCGCCACCUACAACCCAGUUUUGAGAUCUUGAUCACAUCCUGCAACAGCUGAUCUCAGUAGGUCACAUGACAGGAUGAGGCAAGAUCUCACAAUGGUGGUAAAUGUGGUAUUGGAACCAUUUUACCGGUUGUAGGUUGAUUGGUGGGUGUGAUUGCAGACCUGCUUGAUCAGGGAUGAGUUCAUUCCUUGUGUUACAGUGCCAUCUUGUGGUGGUUUUGAGAAUCGUUGCGAAUAGAGUUUGUGCAGUACAUUUAAGAAUGGUGCGCUUCUUUAAUCGGACUGUUAAGAGGCCCGUUCCAAUAAUUUUUAUUCCAUAUUUAUGCUGUAAUGAUUUUUGUCCUUUUUCAGAGAAUCCACAUAUUAUUUAACACUCAUCUACUAUCACACUACAUAUAAAAUGAAUUGCAUCUCUUACAGCUCGAUCCCGUGGUGUAAGCCUCUCCUAAUGACCGAGGAUAACCAGAGUAGCACAAAGUUGAACAGACGCGCCUCAUUCUGAGCAGAAUUAUUCAAUUAUGUUUUCAUACAUGUGCGGAUGCAGGUGUGUGAGUGAGAGAGCAAGAGAAGGACUGAAAGAAAGCAUGGAGGACUUGACUAAACCAUGUAAUCAAGAUGUAAAUCAACUUUGGGUUUGAAUCAGCUCCAAGUACACAGCUGAGUGUGACAAGUGUUGUUGGCUUGUUUAGAAACAUUUUGUGUCCUGAUAGAAUCAAAAUUGUAUUAACAUCAGCUUCUUUUCAGCAGUUAGUAAGUUUGUGUCUCUUGACACUGUGGGGAAAAUUGUAUUUCAUCUUAUUUAACCUCACUGUAUAAGGCAGGUACCUACAUGACCACGACAAAAAAAACAAACAAAAAAAAACCUUCCUACAGCUGAUUCUAUCCACUCAUGAGUUUUUUUUCUCUUCUUUUCAUCCUGCAUUGAUUCCUUUGCAAAUGAUUUUAUUAAUAAAUCUGAGGAUAUCAGUUUUGGUUUCAAUGGUCAGUUUAUUUUUCCACAGCAGAUGCCAGCUGGAUUGGGAAUUAUGACCAUGUUUAGUUAGAUCUGGUGACUACUCUUUGCUUCUUUGCCUCUCACUGGCAGGUCACAGUAUAUGUUAAAAACAGUAUAUGCUAAAAGUACACAGGG
ensembl:lncRNA